rnacentral:sRNA from 1 species
UGCUGCCCCAAAUGCAGUCCAGGUUACCGUGUGAAGCAGGCCUGUGGGGAGCUGACGGGCACAGUGUGUGAACCCUGCCCUCCGGGGACCUACAUUGCCCACCUCAAUGGCCUGAGCAAGUGUCUGCAGUGCCAAAUGUGUGACCCAGGUAAGAGGCCGGCACAGCCAGCUCAGCCUCCGCCCGGGCAGCCUGGAUGCCCCCACACCCUGCACCCUCUUUCCAUGGCCAUAGUGCCCCAGGAAGGCCCCGGCUGCCCCAGGCCAGGUCCCCACCCCAUCUCCAUGGGUGCACCCUGCAGGGGACGUCAGCCUCCGGCCCCCGUCCACCUCUGUCUCACCUCUCACUUUGUCACGUGGGCCUUCCUGAGCUUGGCGACUGACCAUUAGCCCUCGUCCUUGGCUCCUCUGGUGCCCUGGGUGGGUGCCCAGACCUCUCCUGUGCCCACAUCCCUAGCUGCAAAGUGGAGUAGGAUGGUGCUGGGACUCUCCGGCCGGCACUGGGGCCUGCUGCUUCCCCACAGGGCUUCUUGUCCCUUUCUCCUCCAGAUAUUGGUUCCCCCUGUGACCUCAGGGGAAGAGGCCACCUGGAGGCUGGUGCCCACCUGAGUCCAGGCAGACAGAAAGGGGAGCCAGACCCAGAGGUGUGCCUUUGAGUCAGUCACUGAGCGCAGAGCCUGUCCAUGCGGCCAAUUGCUCUGUCCCCUCAGAGCCUCAAGCCAGGCUCAGCAUGGCCAGUGCUCCCUGGGGCCAGGCAGGACUGCACCUGCAGGACAGGGCUGACGGCACACCUGGGGGCAGGGCCUGAGCCUACAGGGAGGCACAGGGCAGGUGGGCUAGCCAUGAACAGAAGAGGAAGCUGGAGUGCUUUGGCGGUUCAUGCAUGUAGGCUGGGAUUUGGGGCUCACACCUCAACCUGCAUAUGCCCAGUUCCAUGCCCCCCUCUUGUGAAAGCACCUGUCUGAUUGGGCUGAGGAUGUGGGGGCACAGGUGGCAGGUGAGGCUGCCCUCAGGAGGGGCCCAGGCCCAGCUGGUACCCCCCCUCCACCAGUACCUGAAGAAGUGGGGCUCUCACCCUACCUGCCUCUGCCAUUGGAAUGGCCUGGUUUGCACAGAUGGGAAGCCCAUUUGAGGGGUGGGUGUCUGGGUGGGCACGUGGGGUGAGGACCUGCCUGAGGGACCCUGCCCUGGAACUGACCGUGCAAGCUCAGCGUCCUGCCCAUCUGGGCAGAAGGCUGGUUUCUCCCAUCAAUGAAACCCUCCCAGGACCUUCCUGCAGGCCCUCGUCCCACACAGCUCUGCCGUCCCUUGGUGCCCCUUCCGGCCUCAGGUCCUCCAUGCCGGGUACCUCCGGGCACCUCGAUUGGCUGAGCCAGGGGUUCAGCCUGGCAGGGGGCCCUGGCAGCAGUCCUUGGCCUGUGGAUGCUGUCCUGGCCUGUGGAUGGUGUCCCGGCCUCCACGUACCCCUCUCAGCCCCUCCUCUUGGACCCCAGCCAUGGGCCUGCGCGCGAGCCGGAACUGCUCCCGGACAGAGAAUGCCGUGUGUGGCUGCAGCCCAGGCCACUUCUGCAUCAUCCAGGAUGGGGACCACUGCGCCGCGUGCCGCGCUUACGCCACCUCCAGCCCGGGCCAGAGGGUGCAGAAGGGAGGCACCGAGAGUCAGGACACCCUGUGUCAGAACUGCCCCCCGGGGACCUUCUCUCCCAAUGGGACCCUGGAGGAAUGUCAGCACCAGACCAAGUGCAGCUGGCUGGUGACGAAGGCCGGACCUGGGACCAGUAGCUCCCACUGGGUAUGGUGGUUUCUCUCAGGGAGCCUCGUCAUCGUCAUUGUUUGCUCCACACUUGGCCUAAUCAUAUGUGUGAAAAGAAGAAAGCCAAGGGGUGAUAUAGUCAAGGUGAUCGUCUCCGUCCAGAGGAAAAGACAGGAGGCAGAAGGUGAGGCCACAGUCAUCGAGGCCCUGCAGGCCCCUCCGGACGUCACCACGGUGGCUGUGGAGGAGACAGUACCCGCAUUCACGGGGAGGAGCCCAAACCACUGACCCACAGACUCUGCACCCCGAUGCCAGAGAUACCUGGAGCGACGGCUGCUGAAAGAGGCUGUCCACCUGGCGGAACCACCGGAGCCCGGAGGCUUGGGGGCUCCGCCCUGGGCUGGCUUCCGUCUCCUCCAGUGGAGGGAGAGGUGGGGCCCCUGCUGGGGUGGAGCUGGGGACGCCACGUGCCAUUCCCAUGGGCCAGUGAGGGCCUGGGGCCUGUGCUCGGCUGUGGCCUGAGCUCCCCGGAGUCCUGAGGAAGAGCGCCAGUUGCCCCUCGCUCACAGACCACACACCCAGCACUCUUGGGCCAGCCCAGAGGGCCCUUCAGACCCCAGCUGUCUGCGUGUGUGACUAUUGUGGCCUCAGCAGGACAGGCCCGGGCACUGCCUCACGGCCAAGGCUGGACUGGGUUGGCUACAGUGUGGUGUUAAGUGGAUACCACAUUUGAAGUGAUUUUCUAAAUUGGAUUUGCAUUUGGCUCCUGUUUUCUAUUUGUCAUGAAACAGUGUAUUUGGGGAGAUGCUGUGGGAGGAUGUAAAUAUCUUGUUUCUCCUC